GCGCGGCUGGCGGGCGCCGGCCACCGCGGGGCGCUGUGGACGCUCGGCCUGCUGGUCGCCGCGGCCGCCCUGGA
rnacentral:tRNA from 1 species